rnacentral:rRNA from 1 species
GGGACACGUGGUAUCCUGUCUGAAUAUGGGGGGACCAUCCUCCAAGGCUAAAUACUCCUGACUGACCGAUAGUGAACCAGUACCGUGAGGGAAAGGCGAAAAGAACCCCGGCGAGGGGAGUGAAAAAGAACCUGAAACCGUGUACGUACAAGCAGUGGGAGCACGCUUAGGCGUGUGACUGCGUACCUUUUGUAUAAUGGGUCAGCGACUUAUAUUCUGUAGCAAGGUUAACCGAAUAGGGGAGCCGAAGGGAAACCGAGUCUUAACUGGGCGUUAAGUUGCAGGGUAUAGACCCGAAACCCGGUGAUCUAGCCAUGGGCAGGUUGAAGGUUGGGUAACACUAACUGGAGGACCGAACCGACUAAUGUUGAA